CUUGGGAGGGUGUUUUUAGAGGCACGUGGCCGGGGCUGCAUGUGUGGGAAAAAAUGCAACCACUAUUCAGAGUCCGUCCGUUCAGAGUCAGGCUGCCUUAUGUGGGCUGGUCCCAGUAUUUUCCAUGGCCCAUGAGGAUAGGUAGCUAGAGUCCCUGGGGCCAUACACGUCCCCAUUAAUGAGACAGUGGGGCUAGAGCAAUGCUCAAAAGGUGUGCAAGUCUCCUCAGUGCACUCCCUCCACCUCCCAGGUGCGCUCGCUCAUGCACACACGUGCUCUUUCCAUACGCAUGUGCUCUUGCAUGCACACACAUGCUCUCACAUUGCUCCAGUGGGAGACCUUCACUUCAAUCCUCUGUGUCCCAGCGUCCCCGGGAAGGCAGUGGCCUGUGUGACGCUAGUGAAAUAAUGUCAAGAGAGCGAAGGUUGAGCACUGGCGAUGGGAAGGCCGUUUUGGUGCAGCUGUUUGUAGCUCUUUAGUUUUUGUUUGUUUUUUUUCUUGAGGCCUAUUUAACUCCAACUCCUGAUGAACGCUUUGGAGAAAGCUCAUCUUUGUUAAAGAUUUAGCACCCCAGCCCCUUACGUAAAGGUGUGCAAGCUGACAGUGUAUAUCCGCCCAGAAGACCUCCAGCAAGCCAGGGAAGGCAAGAUUUGACAUUCCUGAUAUUUCUAAGUUUUCCCCAUCUUGGAAACCAGUGAUAUACCUGAGACACAUCAAUGAGAUUAUUAUCUUCUGGACAGACGGCUUAACCCCCCUCAUAGAUUUCUACCACAACUUCAACAACCACCACCUGUCCAUUAAACUCUCUUUGGCUGGAACACUACCACACUAACCUCAACUUCCUGGACACCACAGUCAGCUUCAGCAGUGGAAUCCUACAGACAACUAUAUACAAGAAACCCCCCAGAUCACCACACCUACCUUCAUAGAUCCCGUGACCACCCCAAACCAAGAAAUGUGUUAUCUACAGCCAGGCACUCCAAUACCACAGAAUAUGCUCUGAGGCAAAAGUCCAGGAUAUACACUUAAAACCUCUUUCACCAAACAAGACAUUCCACCA